UCAGCCAGGCCUCCUCCAACCAAAUCCUUGCUAGGGGGAGGAGGGGCCCCGACAGUAGAGAAAUGCUCCCUCUCCCCCAACUCCUUCGCUCCCAGCCCAGCCUAAGCUUUUUGGAGCAUCACAGACUCGGUUUACAGAGACUCCCUAGGGCGGAGAGCUCUCUGCCCGCCUGGACAGCCCUGUCUGUCCAUUGCUGGACAGCUCCAC
rnacentral:lncRNA from 1 species